CUGACCAGGUACUAUGGACCCAAUCCAGGUCUCUUUUCUAAAUGGUAUGUAAAUGUCCUGAAUGGUCAAAAUUGAAUCAACUCAAGAAGGCAAGCUACCAUGAAGUUGAGAAAAAUGUAGUUUCUAUAAACUUCUAGCUUCUCAAGGCAGAAAAUAUUCACUCUAAGGAGGUCAGAAAGUAAAACGAGCCUUCUGCCAACCACAUCCCAAGUGAUGAAGUUCAGAGAAGUCCUUGUCUGCACAUCUUCUACCAGUGAUUAUUGUAUUGGGUAAUACAUUUCUGCACAUUUUCUAUGGAGUUUCUUCUCUCUGCUUAAUACAGGACCUGCCCAAGAAGAUCCAUUGAAUCUCAGUGUACAGAAACCUUUCUGGUAAAGAGGGUGUCGGUGUCACAAAGCAGAGCUGUGAGUCAGCUGAGCUACCAACUUCCUGGAGGCUGUCACUCAGGCCAGGCUGUGCUUAGGCCUCACCAAACUGGCUUUUCCAGAGUCUGAACUUGACCAACCCCUCCAAAAUUUCCCUGAAAA